rnacentral:lncRNA from 1 species
CUGUAGGUGUAAUGUAUCGGAUUCUUAGUAUAAAAGUAAAUGUAAAUAAAAAUAGUGUAAGAUACUAUUUUUAUUGGACUUAAAGAAGUAAAAUAUAAGUCGAAAAUGACUUAUGCUGAAAUCAGAAUAGAAACAGAAGAUUUAAAAUUUUCUAUAAAGAACGGGGCUGAUAUUUUAGCAGAAAAUUUACAGUGUCAGAAAAUUAUGAAAAUCUAGAAAUAUGUCGGGAUUAUUUUUAUGAGGCUAGAUUUAAAGUUUCAUAUCAUUCCGACACCCGAAAAGUGAAAAAUAAAAUCUAACUGCUAUCUGCUAGAGAUUCUAGUUGGUAGGGCUUUCGGUGACAAAAAAUGAUCGAAACUGAGAAGUUAAGAUAUCUUUCUUUUUAUUAGCUUAAACUGAGUCUGACUGUUAAAUUUGAGCGCAAACAGACAUUCAGAAGGGCUCCGGCAAAAAGAAACAGAUUCUGAGCUGCUAAACUGAAAUUGUGUUAAUAU